rnacentral:rRNA from 1 species
GUGGGGAAUAUUGGACAAUGGGGGCAACCCUGAUCCAGCCAUGCCGCGUGAAUGAUGAAGGCCUUCGGGUUGUAAAGUUCUUUUGGAGGGGACGAUGAUGACGGUACCCUCAGAAUAAGCUCCGGCUAACUUCGUGCCAGCAGCCGCGGUAAUACGAAGGGAGCUAGCGUUGUUCGGAAUUACUGGGCGUAAAGGGCGCGUAGGCGGUUUGGUUAGUCAGAUGUGAAAGCCCAGGGCUUAACCCUGGAACUGCGUUUGAUACUGCCAAGCUUGAAUUCGGGAGAGGUGAGUGGAAUUCCCAGUGUAGAGGUGAAAGUCGUAGAUAUUGGGAAGAACACCGGUGGCGAAGGCGGCUCACUGGACCGACAUUGACGCUGAGGCGCGAAAGCGUGGGGAGCAAACAGGAUUAGAAACCCGUGUAGUCC